rnacentral:lncRNA from 1 species
GCCCGGGCCACUGCGGACUCUGAGCGCCUUUGCGCCGGGACCUGCGGUGCCCAGAGGCCGCCCCGCGUGCCCGGCCCGAGGGCGGGCACCGGUAAGGGAGGGCCCAGGUCAGGGCUUCCCGCCAGCGUUCGUCCCGGCCCCGCAGCUUCCUGCGCCGGAGCGGCCCAGAGGCAGAGGCCUGAGCUGGAGCACACGCCAGGAGGGCUAAGGUUCCCGGGAGAGGGGUCGAGAAGGCAGCAGGGUCCUCCCGCCGCUGAGGUUUGGCCUCGGGAGCAGCAGAUGGUCGGCGGGAGCUCAACCCGAAACGCAGAAGGGGGCCUGCACUGGAUGAAGCAAUGAAGGCAAGGUCACGGCUGCUAAAGCACAGAGGGGUUAAAAAGUGUGAAACCAGA